rnacentral:precursor_RNA from 11 species
UUGGAGUUUACAAAUGCAAGUGGACAAUAUUGUUUUAUUUGCCUUCCUGUUUAGAAAUCAGCAGAACAGGGAGACAUCUAGGACAAGGAUGCCAGGCUUAAAUCUACAGUAUUUUCC